AACGAACGCUGGCGGCAGGCCUAACACAUGCAAGUCGAGCGAGAACUUCGGUUCUAGCGGCGGACGGGUGAGUAACGCGUGGGAACGUGCCCUUUGCUACGGAAUAGCCCAGGGAAACUUGGAUUAAUACCGUAUACGCCCUUCGGGGGAAAGAUUUAUCGGCAAAGGAUCGGCCCGCGUUAGAUUAGGUAGUUGGUGGGGUAAUGGCCUACCAAGCCUACGAUCUAUAGCUGGUUUGAGAGGAUGAUCAGCCACACUGGGACUGAGACACGGCCCAGACUCCUACGGGAGGCAGCAGUGGGGAAUCUUAGACAAUGGGGGAAACCCUGAUCUAGCCAUGCCGCGUGAUCGAUGAAGGCCUUAGGGUUGUAAAGAUCUUUCAGUGGGGAAGAUAAUGACGGUACCCACAGAAGAAGCCCCGGCUAACUCCGUGCCAGCAGCCGCGGUAAUACGGAGGGGGCUAGCGUUGUUCGGAAUUACUGGGCGUAAAGCGCGCGUAGGCGGGCUGGAAAGUUGGGGGUGAAAUCCCGGGGCUCAACCCCGGAACUGCCUCCAAAACUUCCAGUCUUGAGUUCGAGAGAGGUGAGUGGAACUCCGAGUGUAGAGGUGAAAUUCGUAGAUAUUCGGAAGAACACCAGUGGCGAAGGCGGCUCACUGGCUCGAUACUGACGCUGAGGUGCGAAAGUGUGGGGAGCAAACAGG
rnacentral:rRNA from 1 species